rnacentral:misc_RNA from 1 species
AGAAAACGCAGCCGCCAACUCUGUCCAUCAAUACCAAAUUGAUAAAAUCCAAUUUGCGUUUCAUUUUUCUCCUUACCCUCGUUCUCUCUCGAUCUUGCACCAGCUCACAAAUUUAUCUUGGGUCUACGACUACACCCACACACCCUCUCUCAAUCGCGAUCUUCUUUUUUUAAGUUCCAUUCGAAUUCGAUUAGGGGUGCCAAGAAGACACCAAUUGCUGUUCUA